UGGCGCAGCUUGGUAGCGCGCUUCGUUCGGGACGAAGAGGCCGUGGGUUCGAAUCNCCC
rnacentral:tRNA from 1 species